rnacentral:rRNA from 1 species
CCUACGGGAGGCAGCAGUGAGGAAUAUUGGUCAAUGGACGCAAGUCUGAACCAGCCACGCCGCGUGCAGGAAGACGGCUCUAUGAGUUGUAAACUGCUUUUGUACGAGGGUAAACGCAGAUACGUGUAUCUGUCUGAAAGUACCGUAUGAAUAAGGAUAGGCUAACUCCGGGCCAGCAGCCGCGGUAAUACGGAGGAUUCAAGCGUUAUCCGGAUUUAUUGGGUUUAAAGGGAGCGUAGGCGGUCGGUUAAGUUAGAGGUGAAAUCCCGAGGCUCAACUUCGGAAUUGCAUCUGAUACUGGUCGGCUAGAGAGUAGUUGAGGUAGGCGGAAUGUAUGGUGUAGCGGUGAAAUGCUUAGAGAUC